AGUGAACGCUGGCGGUAGGCCUAACACAUGCAAGUCGAACGGCAGCACAGAGGAGCUUGCUCCUUGGGUGGCGAGUGGCGGACGGGUGAGGAAUACAUCGGAAUCUACUCUGUCGUGGGGGAUAACGUAGGGAAACUUACGCUAAUACCGCAUACGACCUACGGGUGAAAGCAGGGGAUCUUCGGACCUUGCGCGAUUGAAUGAGCCGAUGUCGGAUUAGCUAGUUGGCGGGGUAAAGGCCCUCCAAGGCGACGAUCCGUAGAUGGUCUGACAGGAUGAUCAGCCAAACUGGAACUGAGACACGGUCCAGACUCCUACGGGAGGCAGCAGUGGGGAAUAUUGGACAAUGGGCGCAAGCCUGAUCCAGCCAUACCGCGUGGGUGAAGAAGGCCUUCGGGUUGUAAAGCCCUUUUGUUGGGAAAGAAAUCCAUCUGGUUAAUACCCGGAUGGGAUGACGGUACCCAAAGAAUAAGCACCGGCUAACUUCGUGCCAGCCGCCGCCGUAA
rnacentral:rRNA from 1 species